rnacentral:rRNA from 1 species
GGUUGAUCCUGCCAGUAGUCAUAUGCUUGUCUCAAAGAUUAAGCCAUGCAUGUCUAAGUAUAAACAAUUUUAUACUGUGAAACUGCGUACAGCUCAUUAUAUCAGUAAUUAUUUCUUUGAUGGUUCCUUACUACAUGGAUAACCGUAGUAAUUCUAGAGCUAAUACAUGCUUAAAAUUUCGAUUUGGCAACAAAAAGAAAUGUAUUUAUUAGAUAAAAAAUCAAUGGUGAAUAGCAAUAUUCAUCUUCAUUGGUGAUUCAUAGUAACUCAACGAAUCGCAUGGCUUUAUG